rnacentral:rRNA from 1 species
AGCGAACGCUGGCGGCAGGCCUAACACAUGCAAGUCGAACGAAGUCUUCGGACUUAGUGGCGGACGGGUGAGUAACACGUGGGAACGUACCUUUUGGUUCGGAACAACUCAGGGAAACUUGAGCUAAUACCGGAUGAGCCCUUAGGGGGAAAGAUUUAUCGCCGAAAGAGCGGCCCGCGUUAGAUUAGCUAGUUGGUGAGGUAAUGGCUCACCAAGGCUACGAUCUAUAGCUGGUCUGAGAGGAUGAUCAGCCACACUGGGACUGAGACACGGCCCAGACUCCUACGGGAGGCAGCAGUGGGGAAUCUUGCGCAAUGGGCGAAAGCCUGACGCAGCCAUGCCGCGUGAAUGAUGAAGGUCUUAGGAUUGUAAAAUUCUUUUACCAGGGACGAUAAUGACGGUACCUGGAGAAAAAGCCCCGGCUAACUUCGUGCCAGCCGCCGCAGUAAAAC